UUAAGUUAGAAAGGGCGCACGGUGGAUGCCUUGACACUAGGAGUCGAUGAAGGACGGGACUAACGCCGAUAUGCUUCGGGGAGCUGUAAGUAAGCUUUGAUCCGAAGAUUUCCGAAUGGGGAAACCCACCAUACGUAAUGGUAUGGUAUCCUUAUCUGAAUACAUAGGGUAAGGAAGACAGACCCAGGGAACUGAAACAUCUAAGUACCUGGAGGAAGAGAAAGCAAAUGCGAUUUCCUGAGUAGCGGCGAGCGAAACGGAACAUAGCCCAAACCAAGAGGCUUGCCUCUUGGGGUUGUAGGACAUUCUAUACGGAGUUACAAAGGAACGAGGUAGACGAAGCGACCUGGAAAGGUCCGUCGUAGAGGGUAACAACCCCGUAGUCGAAACUUCGUUCUCUCUUGAAUGUAUCCUGAGUACGGCGGAACACGUGAAAUUCCGUCGGAAUCUGGGAGGACCAUCUCCCAAGGCUAAAUACUCCCUAGUGAUCGAUAGUGAACCAGUACCGUGAGGGAAAGGUGAAAAGCACCCCGGAAGGGGAGUGAAAGAGAUCCUGAAACCGUGUGCCUACAAAUAGUCAGAGCCCGUUAACGGGUGAUGGCGUGCCUUUUGUAGAAUGAACCGGCGAGUUACGAUCCCGUGCGAGGUUAAGCUGAAGAGGCGGAGCCGCAGCGAAAGCGAGUCUGAAUAGGGCGUUUAGUACGUGGUCGUAGACCCGAAACCAGGUGAUCUACCCAUGUCCAGGGUGAAGUUCAGGUAACACUGAAUGGAGGCCCGAACCCACGCACGUUGAAAAGUGCGGGGAUGAGGUGUGGGUAGCGGAGAAAUUCCAAUCGAACCUGGAGAUAGCUGGUUCUCCCCGAAAUAGCUUUAGGGCUAGCCUUAAGUGUAAGAGUCUUGGAGGUAGAGCACUGAUUGGACUAGGGGUCCUCAUCGGAUUACCGAAUUCAGUCAAACUCCGAAUGCCAAUGACUUAUCCUUAGGAGUCAGACUGCGAGUGAUAAGAUCCGUAGUCAAAAGGGAAACAGCCCAGACCGCCAGCUAAGGUCCCAAAGUGUGUAUUAAGUGGAAAAGGAUGUGGAGUUGCUUAGACAACUAGGAUGUUGGCUUAGAAGCAGCCACCAUUUAAAGAGUGCGUAAUAGCUCACUAGUCGAGUGACUCUGCGCCGAAAAUGUACCGGGGCUAAAUACACCACCGAAGCUGCGGAUUGAUACCAAUGGUAUCAGUGGUAGGGGAGCGUUCUAAGGACAGUGAAGUCAGACCGUAAGGACUGGUGGAGUGCUUAGAAGUGAGAAUGCCGGUAUGAGUAGCGAAAGACGGGUGAGAAUCCCGUCCACCGAAUGCCUAAGGUUUCCUGAGGAAGGCUCGUCCGCUCAGGGUUAGUCAGGACCUAAGCCGAGGCCGACAGGCGUAGGCGAUGGACAACAGGUUGAUAUUCCUGUACCACCUCUUUAUCGUUUGAGCAAUGGAGGGACGCAGAAGGAUAGAAGAAGCGUGCGAUUGGUUGUGCACGUCCAAGCAGUUAGGCUGAUAAGUAGGCAAAUCCGCUUAUCGUGAAGGCUGAGCUGUGAUGGGGAAGCUCCUUAUGGAGCGAAGUCUUUGAUUCCCCGCUGCCAAGAAAAGCUUCUAGCGAGAUAAAAGGUGCCUGUACCGCAAACCGACACAGGUAGGCGAGGAGAGAAUCCUAAGGUGUGCGAGAGAACUCUGGUUAAGGAACUCGGCAAAAUGACCCCGUAACUUCGGGAGAAGGGGUGCUUUCUUAACGGAAAGCCGCAGUGAAUAGGCCCAAGCGACUGUUUAGCAAAAACACAGCUCUCUGCGAAGCCGUAAGGCGAAGUAUAGGGGGUGACACCUGCCCGGUGCUGGAAGGUUAAGGAGAGGGGUUAGCGUAAGCGAAGCUCUGAACUGAAGCCCCAGUAAACGGCGGCCGUAACUAUAACGGUCCUAAGGUAGCGAAAUUCCUUGUCGGGUAAGUUCCGACCCGCACGAAAGGUGUAACGAUUUGGGCACUGUCUCAACCAGAGACUCGGUGAAAUUAUAGUACCUGUGAAGAUGCAGGUUACCCGCGACAGGACGGAAAGACCCCGUGGAGCUUUACUGUAGCCUGAUAUUGAAUUUUGGUACAGUUUGUACAGGAUAGGCGGGAGCCAUUGAAACCGGAGCGCUAGCUUCGGUGGAGGCGCUGGUGGGAUACCGCCCUGACUGUAUUGAAAUUCUAACCUACGGGUCUUAUCGACCCGGGAGACAGUGUCAGGUGGGCAGUUUGACUGGGGCGGUCGCCUCCUAAAGUGUAACGGAGGCGCCCAAAGGUUCCCUCAGAAUGGUUGGAAAUCAUUCGUAGAGUGCAAAGGCAUAAGGGAGCUUGACUGCGAGACCUACAAGUCGAGC
rnacentral:rRNA from 1 species